rnacentral:lncRNA from 1 species
CCUCAAAAAGUUUAAGGUACUCAAAGUUAACACAUUUUGGAAAUCUAAGGUACAGCAUGGCUAUGAAAGUUCAUGAGAAUGUAUGCUUGAGAUGUGCUAAGAGUAGAUCCUGUUGGAUUCCCUGCCUCCAGAACUGUGAGGAAAUAAAUUUCUGUUCUUUAUAAAUUACCUAGUCUGUGGUAUUCUGUUAUAGCAGCACAAAAUGGACUAAGACAUAUAUCAAAACAUCACAUUGUACAUUGCAAAUGUAUACAAUUUUUGUUUGUCAACUAUACCUCAAGAAAGCUAGAAAAAAUCAAAUAGUCAAAUGGAUCUAAAGUGUUUCUAAGUAGCAAAAGUGCUUUACACAUCUAUUUUGUUACCAUGUUCUAUGUCAUAUUGAAGGUGGGCUUGCCUUUCCACCUUUGGAGUGGAUCAUAAAGUCCUUGAAGAAUGGUCUUCCCACAGUAUUCAGCACACAGGAGUACCCAAGACAUUUGUGUAG